CCAUUUAGAUGGAUGUGAUUUCUGCAGAUUUCACAAACGAAAUCCAGUUAUCUCAAGUAAUCUACCUUAACUAAUGUUUUCUUUCAUAUGAUGGCAGGCCAACAAGUUAUGUUGAAAAUUCCGAAGAACCUGCAGUGUUUUUACAUUUUACCAAGAUUUACGAGUUAAGAUAUGUCAUUAUUUUUUCCCCACCCCUUUCCCAGUUCCCCAGACUCAAUUAGAGGUCACAGCAAAGCAGAAAUCUCACAGCACAUCUUGCCCGGGAACACCUUUACGAAGCGGAACCCGCGUUUAGUUGCAGUAGCUGCUCACUUUCAUCUCACGUCAGAGCACUGCAAGUAUGUAGCCCCAAACUAGCCUGUAUACAGCCAGGCUAUUCGCCAUGACAGGUGAUUUACCUGUACGACGAUGGUCUACUGACGCACAGGUCAGGUAACACUGCACACAAAUGUGAAUUUUAAACUGUGCUGGAAAUAGACACGUACCGUACAACUUUAGAACUUUCAGUUGUGAUGUAACAUGUAGCCUAUUAAACUUGUAUUGGCUUCAAAAGAUAGCUUAACUUGCUAGCUAGUUAUAUGAUCUCAAUAACAUUAGUAAACCAUCAUCCAUGUUUUAGAUAUCAGAUAUAUUAUAGGUAACAUAAUUUAGAUAAUCGUUCAAAGCAAUAUUAUAAAAAUCUAUCCUUAUACUCCACGACUCGCCAGUAAGUUUGAGUCAGUCGUUUUAAGUGUUGUAGCUUAGCUAGUUGGUAGACUAGCUAGCUAGUUGAAAAGUACCUUGAGUUUAGUUUCCCAGUCACAAAUUGGAUGGCCAGCUGUGUAAAGUUCAGUGAUUAUUGAAUGCAAUUAUAUUACUUAUAGCUGACCAUCUUGCUAAUCCGAACAGCAUUGAAACGAAAUGGAUGCUGACUGACAAAACUGAAGACUGUCAUAAAGCUAGCGCGCUGUAUGCUAAACUAUUUGCCUCGCUUACAAACAGUCAAACGCGAGAUAAAGUGUAGCUCGUUAGCUUUGCUACAUUCUACAGUGACCGUUAGGUGCCAGUGGAAAAUUCGAACUCUCAAACCGCAGAAGCGCGAGCAUUAAACGGCAGAUGAUCUGGAAACGCUCGGCUAACUUCGGCGUCGCCUCACAAUGAGCUGCCCUUGAUUUCGUCGAGGGAUCAUGAGGUGCUAACUGUGGUAAUGGAGAGCACCUGUAUGGUGCCUGCUUAAGCCCUGCUGGGCCUCUUCGCUCUUUCUUUCCUUCCCACCUGCACCGGCCUCAUUCUGACUGCUCUGGGCUCCUAGUCUCGGUCUGCUUGGAUGUAUCAAACCUUUUUAUGGAAUAAACUAUGAUUCUGUUUCAA